UGAACGCUGGCGGCAUGCUUUACACAUGCAAGUCGGACGGCAGCACAGAGAAGCUUGCUUCUCGGGUGGCGAGUGGCGAACGGGUGAGUAACAUAUCGGAACGUACCGAGUAGUGGGGGAUAACUGAUCGAAAGAUCAGCUAAUACCGCAUACGUCUUGAGAGAGAAAGCAGGGGACCUUUGGGCCUUGCGCUAUUCGAGCGGCCGAUAUCUGAUUAGCUGGUUGGUGGGGUAAAGGCCUACCAAGGCGACGAUCAGUAGCGGGUCUGAGAGGAUGAUCCGCCACACUGGGACUGAGACACGGCCCAGACUCCUACGGGAGGCAGCAGUGGGGAAUUUUGGACAAUGGGCGCAAGCCUGAUCCAGCCAUGCCGCGUGUCUGAAGAAGGCCUUCGGGUUGUAAAGGACUUUUGUCAGGGAAGAAAAGGCUGUUGCUAAUAUCAGCGGCUGAUGACGGUACCUGAAGAAUAAGCACCGGCUAACUACGUGCCAGCAGCCGCGGUAAUACGUAGGGUGCGAGCGUUAAUCGGAAUUACUGGGCGUAAAGCGGGCGCAGACGGUUACUUAAGCAGGAUGUGAAAUCCCCGGGCUCAACCCGGGAACUGCGUUCUGAACUGGGUGACUCGAGUGUGUCAGAGGGAGGUAGAAUUCCACGUGUAGCAGUGAAAUGCGUAGAGAUGUGGAGGAAUACCGAUGGCGAAGGCAGCCUCCUGGGAUAACACUGACGUUCAUGCCCGAAAGCGUGGGUAGCAAACAGGAUUAGAUACCCUGGUAGUCCACGCCCUAAACGAUGUCAAUUAGCUGUUGGGCAACUUGAUUGCUUGGUAGCGUAGCUAACGCGUGAAAUUGACCGCCUGGGGAGUACGGUCGCAAGAUUAAAACUCAAAGGAAUUGACGGGGACCCGCACAAGCGGUGGAUGAUGUGGAUUAAUUCGAUGCAACGCGAAGAACCUUACCUGGUCUUGACAUGUACGGAAUCCUCCAGAGACGGAGGAGUGCCUUCGGGAGCCGUAACACAGGUGCUGCAUGGCUGUCGUCAGCUCGUGUCGUGAGAUGUUGGGUUAAGUCCCGCAACGAGCGCAACCCUUGUCAUUAGUUGCCAUCAUUCAGUUGGGCACUCUAAUGAGACUGCCGGUGACAAGCCGGAGGAAGGUGGGGAUGACGUCAAGUCCUCAUGGCCCUUAUGACCAGGGCUUCACACGUCAUACAAUGGUCGGUACAGAGGGUAGCCAAGCCGCGAGGCGGAGCCAAUCUCACAAAACCGAUCGUAGUCCGGAUUGCACUCUGCAACUCGAGUGCAUGAAGUCGGAAUCGCUAGUAAUCGCAGGUCAGCAUACUGCGGUGAAUACGUUCCCGGGUCUUGUACACACCGCCCGUCACACCAUGGGAGUGGGGGAUACCAGAAGUAGGUAGGGUAACCGCAAGGAGCCCGCUUACCACGGUAUGCUUCAUGACUGGGGUGAAGUCGUAA
rnacentral:rRNA from 1 species